GCUGGAAUGUUUGGCAAGAAGCCACCAUGAUGCCUCACAUAAGCGAAAUGCUGUUCAUGCUUCUGUAAAUCAGGGGAGCCAGCCAGCUUUGUUCUGACUCCAAGCCAUCCUAGGUUGUGCAGAAUUAAACCAUUGUUAUAAAAUCCAUGCCCUACCAUCUUUUCAGCAUGACUUACUCGCUUACAAGUUCUUGCCAAACGUGGCUUUUGCACCCAAUAGCAGAUGAGACUGGAGACCUAGCUGAUGACUCAUUUGUGUCUGUUUCUUUCCCUGUUAUCCUCAAGCAGGCUCUCCCAUCCCAUUUAGUAGAUUACCUUCCCACAGCCAGUAGACUCAGUAGCUGGGAAAUGCAGUUGCUGGUGCCAAAGAGACUAAGGGUGUCUACCUGGAAGAAACUCAAAGGCAGAAUUCCUGACUCAAAAGACGCAGCUUUUCAAACCAAAGUUCAGGACAGAAGAUAAGAACACUUGCUGCUCUUGCAGAGGACCAGAGCUUAGUGCCCAGUGCCCACAUCACACAGCUUACAGCCAUCUGUAACUCUAGCUCCAGGGGAUCUGAUACCUUUUCUGGUCUCCAUGGGUAUCCACAUGCAUGUGCAUGUGUGCAUUUUUAUGCACAUUGGCAAAUAUAUACAUACCAAUAAUGGUCCAUCCUUCUUAGAGAUCAGAAUUUGUGACCAUAGAAAUUCCAUUUUCAUGUGUAACAAACCGUAAACAAUUUUGAAGCUUCGCUUCACAAGCAGAAUCACUUUGCAAUGCUCCAAUAUGUAAAAAAAAAAAAAAAAAAA
rnacentral:lncRNA from 1 species